UCCUAGCCCCGAUUGCAACGGCAUCCUUUUGCGAAGCAAAAGAUAUAGUGGAAAGCGGGAAAAAGC
rnacentral:sRNA from 1 species